rnacentral:rRNA from 2 species
UACGGAGGGGGCGAGCGUUAUUCGGAAUUAUUGGGCGUAAAGGGCGCGUAGGCGGCGCGAUAAGUCAAAGGUGAAAUCCCUCGGCUCAACUGAGGAACUGCCUUUGAAACUGUCGUGCUUGAGGCCGGGAGGGGGUAGCGGAAUUCCCAGUGUAGCGGUGAAAUGCGUAGAUAUUGGGAGGAACACCAGUGGCGAAGGCGGCUACCUGGACCGGUUCUGACGCUGAUGCGCGAAAGCGUGGGUAGCAAACAGG